rnacentral:rRNA from 1 species
AUUGAACGCUGGCGGCAUGCCUUACACAUGCAAGUCGAACGGCAGCACGGGAGCUUGCUCCUGGUGGCGAGUGGCGAACGGGUGAGUAAUACAUCGGAACGUACCCUGAAGUGGGGGAUAACGUAGCGAAAGUUACGCUAAUACCGCAUAUUCUGUGAGCAGGAAAGAGGGGGAUCGCAAGACCUCUUGCUUUAGGAGCGGCCGAUGUCGGAUUAGCUAGUUGGUGAGGUAAAGGCUCACCAAGGCGACGAUCCGUAGCGGGUCUGAGAGGAUGAUCCGCCACACUGGGACUGAGACACGGCCCAGACUCCUACGGGAGGCAGCAGUGGGGAAUUUUGGACAAUGGGCGCAAGCCUGAUCCAGCCAUGCCGCGUGUGUGAAGAAGGCC